UGCCAUUGAUACUGAUAGCCUUGAGUUUGGUUAAGGUAGGCGGAAUGUGUAAUGUAGCGGUGAAAUGCUUAGAUAUUACACAGAACACCAAUUGCGUAGGCAGCUUACUGAGCCGACACUGACGCUGAGGCACGAAAGCGUGGGGAUCGAACAGGAUUAGAUACCCUGGUAGUCCACGCCGUAAACGAUGAUUACUCGCUGUUGGCGAUACACUGUCAGCGGCUAAGCAAAAGCAAUAAGUAAUCCACCUGGGGAGUACGGCCGCAAGGUUGAAACUCAAAGGAAUUGACGGGGGCCCGCACAAGCGGAGGAACAUGUGGUUUAAUUCGAUGAUACGCGAGGAACCUUACCUGGGCUUAAAUGUAGAGUGCAUUUUCUAGAGAUAGGAAUUCCCUUCGGGGCUUUCUGCAAGGUGCUGCAUGGUUGUCGUCAGCUCGUGCCGUGAGGUGUCGGGUUAAGUCCCAUAACGAGCGCAACCCUUAUCGUUAGUUGCCAUCUGGUAAUGCAGGGGACUCUAGCGGAACUGCCACCGUAAGGUGAGAGGAAGGUGGGGAUGACGUCAAAUCAGCACGGCCCUUAUGUCCAGGGCUACACACGUGUUACAAUGGCCGGUACAGAGGGCAGCUACCUGGUGACAGGAUGCUAAUCUCGAAAACCGGUCUCAGUUCGGAUCGAAGUCUGCAACUCGACUUCGUGAAGCUGGAUUCGCUAGUAAUCGCGCAUCAGCCAUGGCGCGGUGAAUACGUUCCCGGGCCUUGUACACACCGCCCGUCAAGCCAUGGAAGCUGGGGGUGCCUGAAGUCCGUAACCGAAAGGAGCGGCCUAGGGUAAAACUAGUGACUGGGGCU
rnacentral:rRNA from 1 species